rnacentral:rRNA from 1 species
AGCUCCAAUAGCGUAUAUUAAAGUUGUUGCAGUUAAAAAGCUCGUAGUUGGUCCGCCGCAAGGUGUGUUACUGACUGGUCUGCUCUUCUUCGCAAAGACUGCGUGUGCUCUUUGUUGAGUGUGCGUAGGAUUUACGACGUUUACUUUGAAAAAAUUAGAGUGUUCAAAGCAGGCUAUUGCUUGAAUACAUGAGCAUGGAAUAAUGGAAUAGGACUUUGGUCCCAUUUUGUUGGUUUCUAGGACCGAAGUAAUGAUUAAGAGGGACAAUUGGGGGCAUCCGUAUUUCGUUGUCAGAGGUGAAAUUCUUGGAUUUACGAAAGACGAACAACUGCGAAAGCACUUGCCAAGAGUGUUUUCA